rnacentral:misc_RNA from 1 species
GAUGAAGAACGUAGCGAAAUGCGAUAAGUAAUGUGAAUUGCAGAAUUCAGUGAAUCAUCGAAUCUUUGAACGCACAUUGCGCCCGUCAGUAUUCUGGCGGGCAUGCCUGUUCGAGCGUCAUUUCAACCAUCAAGCCCCCGGGCUUGUGUUGGGGACCUGCGGCUGCCGCAGGCCCUGAAAAGCAGUGGCGGGCUCGCUGUCACACCGAGCGUAGUAGAUUUUAUCUCGCUCUGGGCGUGCUGCGGGUUCCGGCCGUUAAACCACCCUUUUAACCCAAGGUUGACCUCGGAUCAGGUAGGAAGACCCGCUGAACUUAAGCAUAUCAAUAAGCGGAGGA